rnacentral:rRNA from 1 species
CUAACAAGGAUUCCCCUAGUAACGGCGAGUGAAGCGGGAAGAGCUCAAAUUUUAAAUCUCCGAGGUUUCCUUGGCGAGUUGUAAUUUGAAGAGAGUGUUUUGAUAUUCGGGUUUAAUCCAAAUCCUUUGGGAUAAGGUAUCAUAGAGGGUGAGAAUCCCGUUUAUGAUUGAAUCUCGUGUGUCGCUUAAUUCACUUUCCAAGAGUCGAGUUGUUUGGGAUUGCAGCUCAAAACGGGUGGUAAAUUUCACCUAAGGCUAAAUAUGUGCAAGAGACCGAUAGCGAACAAGUACCGUGAGGGAAAGAUGAAAAGAACUUUGAAAAGAGAGUUAAAUAGUACGUGAAAUUGUUAAAAGGGAAACGAUUGAAGUCAGUCAUGCUAGUGAGGAAUCAACCUGAUGGUGUGUGGGUUCUCCCUCGUACUUUCUGGUGCACUUUCUCACCCGGCAGGUUAGCAUCAAUUUCGGUUAUCAUAAAAAAUUUGAGAGAAUGUGGCUUUUCUUCGGAAAAGUGUUAUAGAUCUCGAUCUAUGUGGUGACCGGGAUUGAGGAUUGCAGCGGAUACCCUCGUGGCUCGUCACCUGGCUUCUGACGGUUGCCCCGCCUUCGAUAGCUCGCUAACGUCGGUGGGACUCGAUUGUCUAGAUGUCGGAGUGAUUGAUUUUCGCUAAGGAUGC